AUGAUGUUUCUUUUUCCUCUGGCAUCGUCGAUUACCAGCUUGUGUUCCAAAAAGCACAGAGAGGCGACUACCUUUGAAACCCACAAAAGCAACUUAUUUAGUUUUUUUAACGCUCAAGAUAAUGAUAAUGCAUUUAUCUACAUGAACUUGUCUGAUUAUUUUGCUUUUAUUUUAUUGCACUCAUGGAAUGCGAAAGAACUAAAUCAACCAAUUUGCAGGGUCAAUAUUCGUUGUUUCACGAUUUUUCAUUCUGCUAUGCGAAAACUCCAAAUAUUGACUUACUAUUUUCAUUCAGGAUGGUGA
rnacentral:rRNA from 1 species